CCUCUGGAAGUUCUUUUCUUUUAAAAACAUGGUAUGCUAAAGUAACAGGUGAGCUUCUGUGAAUUCAUCGACGAUGAAAGGAGAGCAUUUUGAGUAACAGAACAAUUAAAAUUCAGGUUGCUAGCCUAGCCAGCCAGAUGAACAGAUUGCAGAGCUGAACAGGAA